rnacentral:rRNA from 1 species
ACUCCUACGGGAGGCAGCAGUAGGGAAUCUUCCGCAAUGGGCGAAAGCUUGACGGAGCAAGCCACGNGGUGCAGGUGAAGAAGGUCUUCGGAUCGUAAAACUCUGUUAUUAGGGAAGAACAAAUGUGUAAGUAACUAUGCACCGUCUUGACGGUACCUAAUCAGAAAGCCACGGCUAACUACGUGCCAGCAGCCGCGGUAAUACGUAGGUGGCAAGCGUU